GGGGGUGUUUUAAUUUGCUAGUUUCUUUAACAAUUGAAAUAGCUAGGAGAAGUUGUAAGAACUUCUUAAAAAAGCUUACACCUUGGAUAAAUGCCAAGAACUUUGUAGCAAAGGUAAUGGGUGCUUUCAGUGCUCCUACCCUAGCUUCUGUUGUUGCUUAAUUAAGCAAACAACCAUCCUUAUGAGCAAUGCCUAAUAGCUUACAAAGGGUGUUAUAUUAUUAGGUUAGAUAUUUAAUGCGUAUUCCAUUAUAUAUUGAAACACCAGAAUACUCGAGGAUUUAAUGUUUUGUUCUUUUCCCAGUUAAUUCCUUUAAACAAAUUAAAAGAACUAUUCUAGUAGAAGUUUUAAUUUUAAAAAAUUACACGUGGGUGCGAUACCCACCACCUCCACCA
rnacentral:tmRNA from 1 species